UCCUGUUUUGAGCAUCUCUUUUACAAUCCUUUUUAUUUCAUCCUUUUGGAGAUGUGGAUACUGAUAUGGCUGAGCAUUUACUGGAGAUUGGCCUGGAAGAAUCGUUAUACAAUGAUCAUGCCGACGGGUAAGAGGUAGGUUGCGUAGUUCAUCAAAUAUAUCUGAAAAUUCAGCAAGCAAAGGAAGUAGAUUUGGAUCUUCCAAUUUUGU
rnacentral:lncRNA from 1 species